CGACUGCACUGGCAGCUGCCGGCGCUGGCCUGUCUCACCCAGCGACAGCGCGGUGAUGUCACAGUGGUGUCACAGUGCUGCGGCCAGCACAGCCCUGGGACAUCACAGCCCUGCCUGACGCCAGCGCUCUGCCCUUUGUGCCAUCACAGCCCUGCCUCAGCCCCGCCCUCCGCAGUGCCCCAGGAGGGGUAAGGGGGCUCCCUAUGGGCACUUGCCAGCUCUCUGGAGCAGAGUGGGUGGAAGAUUCUUCUUUCAGAAGGACACAGGGAUGAGGAGGGGAAUGCUGAUGGUCUCACCUCUUUGCUGGCAGAGCAUGGGACAUGGAUUGUCCAAUGUGACACUGCAACUCCUUGAGGAGGGCAAGCCCUGCUCAGUAACAUCCAAGCCAUCUGUGUGCUGUCUACCACAUUCCCGUCCUGAAUCCAAACCCAGCUCUUUGCCGCUCCCUGGGAAGAAAAUGGAUCCUAUCCCAUUGAAAACCAGUACAUCAGCCCAUUCUUCAGCCAGCACACCCUGUCUCUCUUUGUCUCACACCUGGACACCUGCUCCAGAUGUAUUCUGCGAGGGACAGGAUCAAAACUCCACUUAAAAUCCUGAAAUAGAACCUGCAUUGCCUUCCCAUCAUCCAUGAGACGGGUGACCUUAUGUUAGGGAACCAGUGAGUGGGAGCCAGGGUGCGCUUGAGUUUCGGGAAUGCCGCAUCUCCUCGUCUCCUCAUUUCCCAGGCAGACCCUGCCACGAGGGCGUGGCCGAAGCGGCCCGAGGAUCCGGGCAUUCUUAGGAGAAUGCUGGGCAAGGGCCACAGGUCGGUGACUGCAGGAAAUUGCCAGCAGGGGAGGCAGCCUUCCUUCGUACCUGAUGUGGAUUCCCUUCCCCGGACAUCCUAGAGAUAUUUUUAGGAUUGGUGACUGAUAAACACAAUGUGUUUUGAUGGAUGGUUUUAGUUAGUGGUGCUUGUUUUGUUUUGGUUGUGGAACUAUUUAUCUUGGGGUUUUUUUGUGAGUAUUUUAAAUAAGGUUUGACACAGUGAGUAGGACUGUCAUGUAGUUUAUUUUUUGUGAAAACAUAAGUAUACCUUUAGGUUAUGAAAUUGACAGGACUACUUUAUUGACUACUUACCAAGUCUUUUUUAGGAGUAGGUUUUUGUAAGUCUGAUU